CCUACCCUCGGGUGGGGGAUAACCUCGGGAAACUGAGGCUAAUACCCCAUAGGCCUCGGACACUGGAAGGUUCCGAGACCGAAAGCUCCGGCGCCCGAGGAUGGGUCUGCGGCCUAUCAGGUAGUUGGUGGUGUAAAGGACCACCAAGCCUACGACGGGUACGGGCCCUGAGAGGGGGAGCCCGGAGAUGGACUCUGAGACACGAGUCCAGGCCCUACGGGGCGCAGCAGGCGCGAAACCUUCGCAAUGCGCGAAAGCGCGACGAGGGGAGCCCGAGUGCCCUUCCUUUCGGGAGGGCUUUUCUGGAGCCUAAAAAGCUCCAGGAAUAAGGGCUGGGCAAGACGGGUGCCAGCCGCCGCGGUAAUACCCGCAGCUCGAGUGGUGACCACUAUUAUUGAGCCUAAAGCGUCCGUAGCCGGACCCGUAAAUCCCUGGGUAAAUCCUGGCGCUCAACGUCAGGAAUUCCGGGGAGACUGCGGGUCUUGGGACCGGGAGAGGCCGGAGGUACUCCC
rnacentral:rRNA from 1 species